rnacentral:rRNA from 1 species
CGAUGAACCACUUCGGUGGGGAUUAGUGGCGAACGGGUGAGUAACACGUGGGUAAUCUGCCCUUCACUCUGGGACAAGCCCUGGAAACGGGGUCUAAUACCGGAUAUCACUUGCGCAGGCAUCUGUGCGGGUUGAAAGCUCCGGCGGUGAAGGAUGAGCCCGCGGCCUAUCAGCUUGUUGGUGAGGUAACGGCUCACCAAGGCGACGACGGGUAGCCGGCCUGAGAGGGCGACCGGCCACACUGGGACUGAGACACGGCCCAGACUCCUACGGGAGGCAGCAGUGGGGAAUAUUGCACAAUGGGCGCAAGCCUGAUGCAGCGACGCCGCGUGAGGGAUGACGGCCUUCGGGUUGUAAACCUCUUUCAGCAGGGAAGAAGCGCAAGUGACGGUACCUGCAGAAGAAGCGCCGGCUAACUACGUGCCAGCAGCCGCGGUAAUACGUAGGGCGCAAGCGUUGUCCGGAAUUAUUGGGCGUAAAGAGCUCGUAGGCGGCUUGUCACGUCGGGUGUGAAAGCCCGGGGCUUAACCCCGGGUCUGCAUUCGAUACGGGCAGGCUAGAGUGUGGUAGGGGAGAUCGGAAUUCCUGGUGUAGCGGUGAAAUGCGCAGAUAUCAGGAGGAACACCGGUGGCGAAGGCGGAUCUCUGGGCCAUUACUGACGCUGA